AAUGAACGUUGGCGGCGUGGAUUAGGCAUGCAAGUCGAGCGAGAACCGUAGCAAUACGGGGACAGCGGCGAAAGGGACAGUAAUGUGUAGGUACCUACCCCUGGGUCUGGGAUAGCUGCGGGAAACUGCAGGUAAUACCGGAUAAUGUCCAAGGACCAAAGGUGUGAUUCCACCUGGGGAGGGGCCUGCAUCCUAUUAGCUAGUUGGCGGGGUAACGGCCCACCAAGGCAACGAUGGGUAGCGGGUGUGAGAGCACGACCCGCGUCAUUGGGACUGAGACACUGCCCAGACACCUACGGGUGGCUGCAGUCGAUGAUCUUCGGCAAUGGGCGAAAGCCUGACCGAGCGACGCCGCGUGCGGGAUGAAGGCCUUCGGGUUGUAAACCGCUGUCGUAGAGGAGGAAGUGCAGGGGGGUUCUCCCCUUUGCUUGACCUAUUCUAGGAGGAAGUACGGGCUAAGCUCGUGCCAGCCGCCGCGGUAA
rnacentral:rRNA from 1 species